AUUGAACGCUGGCGGCAGGCCUAACACAUGCAAGUCGAACGGUAACAGGAAGCAGCUUGCUGCUUUGCUGACGAGUGGCGGACGGGUGAGUAAUGUCUGGGAAACUGCCUGAUGGAGGGGGAUAACUACUGGAAACGGUAGCUAAUACCGCAUAACGUCGCAAGACCAAAGAGGGGGACCUUAGGGCCUCUUGCCAUCGGAUGUGCCCAGAUGGGAUUAGCUAGUAGGUGGGGUAACGGCUCACCUAGGCGACGAUCCCUAGCUGGUCUAAGAGGAUGACCAGCCACACUGGAACUGAGACACGGUCCAGACUCCUACGGGAGGCAGCAGUGGGGAAUAUUGCACAAUGGGCGCAAGCCUGAUGCAGCCAUGCCGCGUGUAUGAAGAAGGCCUUCGGGUUGUAAAGUACUUUCAGCGGGGAGGAAGGGAGUAAAGUUAAUACCUUUGCUCAUUGACGUUACCCGCAGAAGAAGCACCGGCUAACUCCGUG
rnacentral:rRNA from 1 species